UUUAAUCACUCCAGGUUGUGCCACGUAGGCAUCCAGGUCAGAAACUCUAUAUCUGCCGUCUUGACACGUGUCCGCUUUGUGCUAAACGCACCGUUCCAUUUAUUCGCUAUGUUUGUGGGCUUUCUGGUGUGCUGUAUGUUUGAGUCUACUUAUGCAAUUUUUUGGGCCCGGGUAAAUAGAAAAACAUGUAAACGCAGCGUUUAUACUUUAGUUGAUUAGGGCUUCACUGAUUUCCAUCUUCCACAUAUGAACUUGCCGUCUCUUUUUUUUUUUAAUCUACAGAGUUUAUGUUCUCAUCUCUUCACAUUCCAUGGAGUUCAAUGUAUUCUUAAAUCCGGCAAUAAAUGAUAUACUCAUUAAACUCUGUAACGUUCCAGACCUCUUCGUUCUUUGCCGUCAAAUCUAUAAAUAGGGUAUGCUUGCGAUGUAGAUGAACCUUCGCAAUCACUUGCAGUCUUUUUCUUUUUUUUUUUGAGCGUAGAGAGAUUCUGAGAAAAUAUCUUUUUCCAAUCCUGUUGCUACACGAUCGGCCUUGACGCUCUCCGACUAGGUAGAUCUGGCCAGUUGAUUGUCACUCGUCUGCUCUGUUUCUGGGACUCCAAAAACAUCAAAGAAGCAUGGUGAAUUGAUGGGCAUCAUCCUACUUCUUGAUGAUAAGAAUCCGUGAUCCAUGGCCUACUUGACUACUUCCGUUGUCUAAAUCAAUCCUCCGCUUAGCAUCUAAGAAUGGUCACAAGGAAGGCCGAUUUAGUUAUGGUGUUAUCCUCAUGGCCUUAGGCGUAACUGAGAAAGGUAUGAAAAUCAUCAAUAAACUGACUGAUAAGGAAGGUCUUGCUAUUGUGGACAGUUGCUGGGAGAACAUCCAGAUCUCACUAGAGCAUAUCAAUCUCACCAUGGAAAAGGUGUACGUGAAGUCCCUUGAGAAGAUGAAACCGGAUCUCAACUGCCAUCCUGCUGAGAUGAAUACAUCUUGCUCCAAUGUUUCCACUUCUUCCUGAUGAGUUCUUUGAGGUAGUGAUGGACUCAGCCCCUGGUUUUAUCUCUAGAACGAGCUUAAUGGGAAGCGUUCAUGACAAUUAAGAUUGCAUGCUUUACCUUUUCUUCUUUUCCCUUUUUUUCAUUUUAAAGUUAAUAGUAUGACAUCGUUUCCUUAUGUAAAGGGAUCACUGCCACCAAUUUCUAUAUUUUUCUUCUUGAGUUUGUAACUCUCAGCUUUGUUUCCUGUUUUCAUUUUGAAAACAAACGCUAAUAAAAAAAGCCAAAAAAAGAGGCAAUUUUAAUUGCCCAACAAAAAGUGAUUGUUUUUCAAUGAUUA